rnacentral:rRNA from 1 species
CGUGAGGCGGAGCUAAUCCCUUAAAGCCAUUCUCAGUUCGGAUUGUAGGCUGAAACUCGCCUACAUGAAGCUGGAGUUACUAGUAAUCGCAGAUCAGAAUGCUGCGGUGAAUGCGUUCCCGGGUCUUGUACACACCGCCCGUCACACCACGGAAGUUGGGGGCGCCCGAAGCCACUUAGCUAACCCUUUUGGGAAGCGAGUGUCGAAGGUGAAAUCAAUAACUGGGGUGAAGUCGUAACAAGGUAAC